CCCAGUUACCCCCUCCCUCCGUUUAGUUAUCAUGGCCAUCUUAAAGAUUUACAAGUCCCAUCUGGUAGGUAUUUCCUGCCCCCCACCUCCAUAUCUGAGCUGAUAUUAGCCUGUCUACCAAGGUUGGUCCCGUUACAUCAAAUUAAGUGGGUCGGGGGUUGUGAUACUUGCGGGCAACAGUCCGGCACUUGCUCGUAGACUGGAUCGUAGCCAGGUGUCCCUCCAGUGUCGUCUUUUCUGAGUGCGUGUAUGAUCCUUGUGACAAGACCAAUCUCGCCACAUUGCAUUGGAGAAGCCUGGUUGCUCGCCUGUUGCCUUUGGAUUAUGG